UUCGAUGCAACGCGAAGAACCUUACCUGGUCUUGACAUCCCGGAGACCCUUAGGAAACUAGGGGGUGCUUCCAUCUGGAAGAAUCUGGAGACAGGUGCUGCAUGGCUGUCGUCAGCUCGUGUCGUGAGAUGUUGGGUUAAGUCCCGCAACGAGCGCAACCCUUGCCUUUAGUUGCCAGCAGUUCGGCUGGGCACUCUAAAGGGACUGCCGGUGUUAAACCGGAGGAAGGUGGGGAUGACGUCAAGUCCUCAUGGCCUUUAUGACCAGGGCUACACACGUACUACAAUGGCCGAUACAAAGGGCAGCGACACUGCGAGGUGAAGCCAAUCCCGUAAAAUCGGUCUCAGUCCGGAUUGGAGUCUGCAACUCGACUGCGUGAAGUCGGAAUCGCUAGUAAUCGUGAAUCAGAAUGUCACGGUGAAUACGUUCCCGGGCCUU
rnacentral:rRNA from 1 species